UGUGAGUGGAGUUUUCAAUGUCUUGUUUCCAUCACUAGCAGAAUGGGAGACCUCUGGGUGAACUGCUUUACUAUGGAGCCUUUUGUCUGCUGAAAAAAAUAAGAAAUGGCAGUUCUUUCAUGAAAUUUUGACAUCUGCAGACAAAUAAUGUCCCACAGCAUGUGCCAAAUUCCCUCUCUUCAUAUGUAACUCUGGCUACAAACACCUCCUACCCUGAUAUUUUUAGUGACAAGUGGAAAAUUGCUCUAUUAGCAGAACAAGGAGAAGUUAAUUCCUUCCAGCACCAGUUGCUGUUUUUUUAAGGCCAUGGAAACUUGGAAUUGAAUAUGCAAUAACAGAACUGUGCUGACUUUGAAUGGGAAUUAAUGUCAAAGAUGCCCCUGAAGUCCAAAGCUGGAAUUCAGAGGAAAGACUUCUACAGAACGUUUUGCAUUUGACGUGCCUGUAUCACUGCAAAGAGGCUAAGAACCUUAAGCUUUCCAUCCUCAAGUCCUGC
ensembl:lncRNA